GACGAACGCUGGCGGCGUGCCUAAUACAUGCAAGUCGAGCGAAGUUUUUCUGGUGCUUGCACUAGAAAAACUUAGCGGCGAACGGGUGAGUAACACGUAAAGAACCUGCCUCAUAGACUGGGACAACUAUUGGAAACGAUAGCUAAUACCGGAUAACAGCAUUAACUGCAUGGUUGAUGUUUGAAAGUUGGUUAUGCUAACACUAUGAGAUGGCUUUGCGGUGCAUUAGCUAGUUGGUGGGGUAAAGGCCCACCAAGGCGACGAUGCAUAGCCGACCUGAGAGGGUGAUCGGCCACACUGGGACUGAGACACGGCCCAGACUCCUACGGGAGGCAGCAGUAGGGAAUCUUCCGCAAUGGGCGAAAGCCUGACGGAGCAACGCCGCGUGAGUGAAGAAGGAUUUCGGUUCGUAAAGCUCUGUUGUUAGGGAAGAAUGGAUAUGUAGUAACUAUACAUGUACG
rnacentral:rRNA from 1 species